rnacentral:sRNA from 1 species
GCCUGGAGUGGAGGCACACGCCUGUAAUCCCAGCAGCUCAGGAGGCUGAGACAGGGAGAUCACAAGUUCAAAGCCAGCCUCAGCAAUUUAGCGAGGCCCUAAGCAACUUAGUGAGACCUUGUCUCUU